CAGAAUGGGGUUGCUGAGAAUACCCGGCUGUGGCAGCAUGGGGUUGCUGAGAGUACCCGGUCGCUGCAGCAUAGGGUUGCUGAGAGUACCCGGUUGCUGCAGCAUAGGGUUGCUGGGAGUACCCGGUUGCUGCAGCAUAGGGUACCUGGGAGUACCCGGUUGCUGCAGCAUAGGGUACCUGGGAGUACCCGGUUGCUGCAGCAUGAGGUUGCUGAGAGUACCCGGUUGCUGCAGCAUGGGGUUGCUGAGCGUACCCAAUUUCAUGGGGUUUUUGAAUAUAUCCGGUUCCACCAGCAUAGAGUUGAG
rnacentral:lncRNA from 1 species